GUCUAUGGCCAUAUAACUCUGGCAUGUCCAAUCUCAUCUAAUCUUAGAAGCCAAGCAGGGCUGGGUCUGCUUAGUAUUUGGAGGGGAGAAUAUGAAAGUAGAGGGUGAGGGAAA
rnacentral:rRNA from 1 species